GAUUUUGUUACAGGUAUGAUUAUUUGUUUGAUCCCGACGAGGCCGAGGAAUUCAAAGUCCCUUGUCUGUGUAAAGCUCAAAACUGCAGAAAAUUCAUGAAUUAGGUUGCGUUCAGUAUAACCAUUUGUUUCUCCUUAAGGAAUUCUAUCAGCCUGGCCUGAUGUUUUGCAAUUUUGUAAUUUUUGCUGCAUAGGGAAAAUGUAAAUCUUUUUGGUUUUUUGAGGAUGUUUUUAUUAAACCAUAAUAAAAGCAAUGAGAUUCUGGCAUUUCAUAUUUUUCAGAAUUUAAAUAAUUAUUUCCCCCCUUGCAAAGAAGGGAAUAACGAAAAAAAAAAAAAAAAGUAUCUUACAGAGAUCUAAAAUGGUUGUAGCAAACUAAAAAAAGGACAUUCUUCAUUUAUCAGCAAUUCAUAAUUCAAAACAGCAAAAUCUCCGUUAAAAAAAUAGGUUCCUGUUUGGUGAUAUUUAAAAUUUUUAUAAAAAAUUAAGUCAAACUAACAGUUAAUUUAAUCACACCAUGUAUUCAUAAUAUCUUUAGACUUUAAUCACAUAUUUUAUUAAUUUUUAAUUAAAAUAUAUUAAACUUUUGAUUUUAAAUAACACCGACCAAAUAGGGGCUUAAAUGCUUGAGAAUUAGCUAUCUCCACACAAGAAUGAGUUUAAUUGAUUAAAGUAGAUUAUAUGAAUUCUGGACAUGUUUAAAUUACUUUUUCCAAAAAUUGAAUUUUAUUAGUCAAAAAGGCAAAUUUGAAAAUAUUCUUCAGGUAAUUGAAGUUUGAUCUCGUUGCUUUCAAGCUUUAUGCAUUUUUAAUUUCAACUUGUAGUUUAACUUCAUCGUCUAUUCACUUUUUACACUUCAAAACACUCGAACAAAAAUGUUGAAGGAGCCGAAACAUCACUCACCAGCAACUGCGGGAAAAUAAAAAGUAGUAGUAGAUGCGUCUGCAAGUUCUCUACUCCAGCAGUCCACGAUCUCAGUUCACAAUUUGACCUACAAAUCAUUCCCCAAAUUCAAUUCUUUCAUAUCAGUACAAUAAAUAUGUAGUAUGUUCGACUCGAUUGCACUGGACAAUAUUCAAUAAGCAAUUCUGUUAAAUAAUACAUAGUAUUCACUUUAGCAAUACUCAUGAGAGGAAGACAGAUUAAAAGUUUACCUUUUGAUGUCCUCAGACUCAAGAGAGUACAUUUUCGUGCUUGCUAGGACUGUACUCCGAUAAAAAUUAUCUUCUUGUUUUGCCCUUUUGAAGACUAUUUGGUCAUCAAAGAAAUUAUUUUUUAUGGUUUUCCUUCCGGU
rnacentral:lncRNA from 1 species